ensembl:lncRNA LINC01767 long intergenic non-protein coding RNA 1767
AGACACUGACUGAUGGGACCAGGUACAAAAUCCCCUGGGACAAAACAGAACUUUCAUAACUGGCUGUAGAGUUAUUGUUUUUGCCUUUUGGAAGCUUCCACCUUGUGACGGGAAGAGCACUGUCAGCCCAACACAGAAACUCUGCCGCCUGGAGUCACGUGGAUCCAGAUGCGAAGGGACUCCAACGUCAUGCUAAGGAGUUUGGGCUAAGAAUUUGUACAGCCAUAUUACAGAUUUGGAAAAUGAUGUGAAGAGAAGCUAAGGGAUUUGCCACUGCCACUCAGCUGCCAAGGAUCAGAGGCAGGAUUCUAACAUUACUUCUACUUCUCAACGUCCAUCCUCCAACCAUUGUCCAGUGAUUCAGGCAGAAUUCCCUCCUGCUCAGGAGGUAGCCAUCCUGUGACCCUGGAAGAAACCAGCCCAAGGAAGGUGCUAACCUACAGAAGAAGGACAUGGCCAGGGUAAUCACAUAGACCCGGAGUUGAAGCCCUGACUGCACCACACCCGAAGCCUCCCCACCUUUCAACCUCUCGGUGAUGGUGAACCAAUAAACUCUUUUUAUUGUUCAA